AGGUCUAGUGGUAUGAUUCUCGCUUAGUAAGUCGCACUGAAUACAAUUCGCUCCCUUCAAUUCUAACAAUUCCUAGGGGUAAACCCAAGCACAGCUUGCGAGAGGCCCCGCGUUCGAGUCGCGGUA